rnacentral:rRNA from 1 species
GAUGAACGCUGGCGGCGUGCCUAAUACAUGCAAGUCGAGCGAACGGACGAGAAGCUUGCUUCUCUGAUGUUAGCGGCGGACGGGUGAGUAACACGUGGAUAACCUACCUAUAAGACUGGGAUAACUUCGGGAAACCGGAGCUAAUACCGGAUAAUAUUUUGAACCGCAUGGUUCAAAAGUGAAAGACGGUCUUGCUGUCACUUAUAGAUGGAUCCGCGCUGCAUCAGCUAGUUGGUAAGGUAACGGCUUACCAAGGCAACGAUGCAUAGCCGACCUGAGAGGGUGAGCGGCCACACUGGAACUGGGACCCGGUCCAGACUCCUACGGGAGGCAGAAGUAGGGAAUCUUCCGCAAUGGGCGAAAGCCUGACGGAGCAACGCCGCGUGAGUGAGGAAGGUCUUCGGAUCGUAAAACUCUGUUAUUAGGGAAGAACAUAUGUGUAAGUAACUGUGCACAUCUUGACGGUACCUAAUCAGAAAGCCACGGCUAACUACG